rnacentral:lncRNA from 1 species
GUGAGGGAUCCAAUGAUGGCUUUACACCUACUUGUGAAUGAUGGAUCAGACUUAACUAAGGAGUAUAAUCAAUAUCUUCAAGUAAGCCCACAUGACUUAGAGACCAAAUCGCUGCAAUAUGCUUAAAAAAGCAUCUGGACACAGAGUUAUCCAUGUAUUGAUAUACGUAUUAUUAAUAUCUAUCAGGUGAGAUAUACAGCAUCGAUGAGACCGCAGCAUCUAUUAGAAAUCCAG